AGCAAUCUGUCUCCAUAGAUAUUUAUAGUUCAGACUCCCAGAGGGUGCUAGCCUCCCAUCCUUGCUGCUGAGUAGUUUUCUUCUGCUGACGGAACAGACUAGAGGUGCUAACCCCUGUCCGGAGGGCUCUCAUUAAAGAGGCCAGACAGUCCACCUGCCUGUUAGGUGGCCCAGAGCCACCUGGGGCUUCCAGGAGGAGGGGAAGCAUCUAGUCUCCAUGUUGGAAAAAGCAAAUUCGUAGCAGAGACGUUUUCCCGGUCUGCUCUCCUCACUUUGGAAGAAGUUUGGCAACCCAGGUUAGUGUCUUUUUUAAAACGAUGCCGUCCCCACUGUUAAAACCCCCAAUUCAACUAAGUGAAAAUUAAAAUAUCUUAUUGGCUUUCUGGAACAAUUCAUGAAGAGGGCAGCAUUCCACCCAGCAGACAGAAAGAAGAUCUGAGGGCCUCUACAGUUUGAAGGACGUUUACAGGCAGAAGGGGGCAGGAACAAGGAAGUUAUGCUAGCAAAAAAACAGAUUGGCUGUGCCAAGUCAUUUUCCUGUAGGGGACAACUGUGGUCUAUCAGGCAGAUAACCUCACCAGUGGUGACCAGAUGAUUCCCGAUUGACCGGUUUCAGAUCACACUUCUGGAAGAGGCUGAGACCAUAACGAAGGGAUUGGAAAAUGCAAGCUGGGGGUCGCCUCGGUGGCUCAAGUCUGUUAAAGUGUCCAACUCUUGAUUUCGGCUCUGGUCAGGAUCUCACGGUUGGCUUAUUAAAUGGCAGACCGGUUUUAGUGAGAAUGAAGCUUUAAAAUGCAGUCAGCCAAGCAGAUCUAAUCACAUAAAGCAAGUGAAAAAUAAACAGCCAAUGUCUGGAAUGGCUAAUCAGAAGCCGGAAAAAAAAAAAAAAAUGAACGUAUGCGAUUUCCUCCAAGGUCUGCCAGUCACCUUCUGGGUGCAUUUCCAUGAAGCUUCAUGGGGACAUCCAACGAUUCUGAGUACGUAUUUAUUUGUGAGGGACUGCCGACUGUUUUAUGAACAUAAUAAAUGAUUCUCAGGACAGAGAAACAAUCCUAUCUCUCUUCCAAGAAGGAAAAAGGCACGGCUGGGCACUUGGUGCCCUCCUCCAAAUAAUCCAUCAUUGUCAUGACAAAUCCAGUGUCAGACUCUACAAUGUGACUGUAUAAAAGUCUUUCAGUCUAUCAUAGAAUGGGAGCAGGAGCAGCCCUUGGAGACCAUCCAGUCCAAGCUCAUGACCUCAUUUUAAUGAUGAAGAAACCAAGGCCUUGGAGGGAACCAGCACGUCAGAGAAUGUUUUCACUGGGCACCUACUAUGUGCUUCCCCAUAUGUCUUUCAUUGAAGCCUCAUAAAUAUUUUCUAUAGCUUAUUGGAAGCGUGAUAUGUACAUCUUACUCAGCCAGGGCAACUAACUUGCUCAAACCCCCAGUUGGUGGUAGAGGUUUGGCCCUGAGUCCACGCCUGUUGUAGCAGUAAGGUGGGGCAAGGUUAUGCUGUGGCUAACAACCCCGUGGAGCAACAAAGCGUUACUGCUGUUCAUCCCCCAUGUUGGCCAUGGACUGGCCAGGGGUCUUCCUUUUAUCACGUUCAUCCAGGGAUGAAUGAGAGACCCAGACUGUGGGAGGCUCUACUGCCAAGGGCCAAGGGGGAAGAAGGAGUAUAUCAACCCACAUUGCCCUUCAAAUCAGCCCAGAAGGGUACAACUCACAGUCCGCUGGCCAACACAAGUUGCUUGCCAUUCCCAACCUCAAGGGAGCAGAGAAGGCAGUCUUACAGUGCACUGGAGACCCACAGAAAAUACCUGGUGAGCUCCACCAAUAACCACCACCCAUUCUCUGUCCACAAACCCUCUCUGCCCCCCAGGGAAGCACUGAAGGGUUCCCUGGAUGGCAGAGCCCCUUCAUGGACGAGUCUUCCCAUUCAUUUCUUGCACACCUCACUUUCUGCUUCCCCAGGCUGCCUCCCUCCACCUGGCUAAGAAGGAGCAAGAUGUUCAUUCUUUCUUCUGUGGCGGUUUAAGUAUGUUGGCAAACAUUACCAGACCCCAGGGCAGGAAGAUGAUAGGCAAAGAGAACCAAAAUUACAGACUGUAAGAUGUAAGAAAACAGGGUUUCGGUUUCCUCAGAUCCUAAUGUUAAUGUUUACUUUUCUGCAUGAUAUGCGGCAGUGGAAGAACAUUCUUUUCUAGUCUAUUUCUUUUUCCUUGCCUCCAAAAUGCAGGUAAAACUUUUAUAUUACUUUAAUUUGAAACUAAUUUAAGGAA